rnacentral:lncRNA from 1 species
UCUGCGGUGUUGCAUCUUGUGUCUAUAAAAUGAGCAGCUCAUAAUGCCUAGAUAAUCCUUUCUACUGCUUUUUUUUAAAGAUAUAACGUCAGCCAUGGAGAACUGCAAAUAUGUUGCUACUGCUCUCAAUAACAUUGCUCCCCUGAAUUUAUCAGGCACUAUUGACAAAGGUCAGUGGUAAAAAGUUCUGGACGAUGAAUGCUGACUCUGAAAAUAACACGUUUUGAAAUCAGUGGAACACAACAGGCCAAACAAGCUGCACAAACUAAACAGAAACAACACAGGAAGUCUUAUAAAGGGGUUGCAGUCUGCCGUGAAGCUUUCAUCCAUGUAUACAGCCUUGAUCAAUCCCCCGCUUCCUCUUCUCCUCCUAGAGAAGAAGACGUGCUGUCAAUAUUCCCCAGACCGAAGCUCAAUGAAAAGAGGAGGGGGAGAGAGAGGACAGCGAUCAAUGUCAGUUUGCAGAGUGCUGCUAAAUGUGCCAUGACAGAGUAAACGCUGACACCAACACCUGUUCCCUGAAGGUCAC